AGUACAAAAGGGUCCACUUUCAGAUGAGUCCAGCCUGUAAAUAUUGACUGAAAAACCAACGUGAGCCUGCAGAGAGGGCUGCUUUGGUGUUCAGAGGGUGGGAAGGUACAUUGCUCAGAGAUGUAUUUGGUGGCAUAUGCACCACUGCUAUAGGCAAAAUGCUUCCCUGUAUAAGGAAAAUGAUUGAUUGCUACCCUGUUUAUUGCUGCAGAAUAUAAUUGCAGCAUUGUUUGGUCUUAUCUGAAUGCCAUCCUUGUAUAUGGUAUAGGAAUGCAGGGGCAGCCACCAGUAGGGUAACUGAAGCAGGGUGACCCAGGCAGCAGCUCUUGAUGCUACCUUUGGGUGUAGGGGCAGAAAAAUGACAGCUGUUGCCACAGACACACAACUGCAUUGGUGGCACCAACAGUUACAUGUCACUGCUGCCCUGUGUGUUACUGCUGCCUCAGAUACCCCACUGCCCUGUAACACCUCUGAGGGUGGAAUGAAUCUCUCGAGCAUACCACCACAGUUUGCCUGUUACCAGAUGGUGGUGUGGCUGUAGCCAAAGACUGCAGUCCUUUCAUGGAACCUCUGACACUUCCUGGGAUGUCUUCCAAGCCACACAGCUAAGGGAGGUGGAGGGGAAGCAGGGAAAUGCCUCAAGACAAUUUCUGAUCUACAAGUGGACCUUCCAGCUAAUGCCAUUAAGAGCCUUUGAUGCAGACUUUUGCGUGACAAGAAAGGUAGGUACAGGAAGUGAAUGAAGAAGGGUGUUGUAUCCAACUGAAGUUUCAAUGUAUUUUAAAGAGGUAGUCUAAAAUCAACCAUCAGAAUUUUCCCAGGAUACCAACAAUAACGCCCUAAAUCUUGAGAAGGGUGCUGCAGGAUGUUUAUUACAAAUAGUUAGGGCUUCUGUCAUCUCUCAUUCUACAAAAGGUAAAUAUUACAUCCAUACUGAUCUAAAUAACACUUAAAUCAAGCAACCUGUCUCAUACCUUCUACCCACCUUUACUUACUGAUAUGUUGAGAAAUGUUGUUCAAGAAGAGGUUGAAUAGGCGUUGGACAUACAGUUGUGCCUUUAUUCAUAGAGAAUCAUGAAGAAGUAGGGGUGGAAGGAACCUCAAUAGGUCAUCUAGUCCAACACCCUGACUGAGGCAGGGGGUGUUCUACUAUGGGUAUUUUCUAUACUUAUGGACUUUGUUGGUUGUCCCGUGGGGCCAGGAGAGAAUUCCACCCCAGAAAUAUUGGGUGGUGGCUGCAGCCAAGCCUGGGGACUUUGCUGGGACUUAAAUCUGGAGGUUUCUGGCUAAAGGGUUUUCCCCCUCCACUCAGGGUCAGACCAAUUGCCUUAGGUGGGUUCAGGAAGGACUUUUAUCCCAUUGUCAGAUUGGUAUGGACUGUGGAGGUUUUUGCCUUCUUCUGUGGUGCGGAGGGUGUUGCCCUCUUUCUGGGAUCUCUCAAAUGUAUUUUAAUAAGUUUUGCAGCAGCAGGAUUUUGGCUGCCAUGGUCUUCUUGCUUUACAUGGGGCAAAUUAGGUUGUGUGAUGAUUAUGUGGUUGGAUUGUUCCUUUUGAUGCUCCCUGUUAUUUUUUUUUCUUUUUUUUGGAUGGGUUUUAUUCUGGCAGGGAAAAGGUAACCAUCUGGCUUGCAGAGGGGCUGGGUGUGGCCUGGCUCAUUGCACUCUGCCCUGGGGAUGGUGCUGGAAGGGCCCUUCUCCCCAGGGCUCCAUCUCUUUCUAGAAGCUGGGGGAGCAGAUAUAAGCAGGGGAGCUGGAGAGUGCACAUGUGGGUAUGUAUGCCUGUGUGAGUGCCUGCUGGCCUGCUGGAAUCCACCACAGCCUGCUGGGGUGAAGCCCCAGAGAGUGGAGACAGAGGCAGUCAUCCAUGUGGGGUCUGCGGGCUGGAAAGGCAUGAGCAGUGAGGCAGGGGCAACCUGCUGAGGCCAGCAGAGAAGCUGAGACCUCAAGGGAUGGGUGGGGGGUGGAGUUCCCUGCAGAGACAGUAAUGAUUCUGGCCUGCUGCUGGAACCAUCCGUGGUCUGAGAAGUAAGCACUGACCAGGGGUGAGAAUGAACUGUUAGGAGUUAAGAUGUUUAAAACCUUUAUUUUGUCUUCUCAGUCACAUGGUAGCGUUUUCCCUCCUAAUUAUUAAAGUGGGGGGUAGGAGCAGGGAGGAUUAUCCCUGAAAUGUAGUUAUUCUUUAAUUGGGUAUCUUGCCUCAUGGGGAGUUUGCACUCACAUAGCCUUAGCUAACUCUGGGUCCCACCACAGGGUGAUACAUUUUGUGCUGUGUCUGGGUUGACUGUGUUGUUUUGCUAAGGGAUGAUACUGCCUCUGGCAGGGGGCUGGAAAUUCAAGAACCUUUCAACACACUCUCAAACAAACAUAAUAUUUUUCUAUUUGCUUUGUCGUGUGUACGGUUUGAUCAAACUCCCACUAGAGUCAAGCGCAAUCUCUCCAACAGACUCCCAUUUGACUUGAACUGUGCCUGAGGGCCAUAUCAAUCUGCUACAUUAGUUUCCCCGAGAAGAUACUUCAGCUGGUCCAGGAAAAAGAAAUGUUCACCUGGGCAUAAUGAACACUAGCCUGUUUGAUUAUAAUGGAUAAUCUACAGAAUGGAGUUUAUGACCUGCUAAAACAUGGAAUAAAAUUUUGAAAAUCAGGAGUAAAAACCUUAAUGACUAAUGAA